GGACAUGACUCCCCCUCCCCACCUUGGGUUUUUAUUGGGAUUAUGAUUUUCAAGUUACCACCUUAGAUGUGGACAUGACUCCCCCUCCCCACCUUGGGUUUUUAUUGGGAUUAUGAUUUUCAAGGUACCACCUUAGAUGCAUGUGGACAUGACUCCCCCUCCCCACCUUGGGUUUUUAUUGGGAUUAUGAUUUUCUGACAUUGAACAUUGCAUAUAUAUGCAGAUAUGGGAAGUCUUGUCAACAAGCACAUGUGGAUAUAUAUUGUACCAUAUUUUUUUCAAAGUGGGGAAAUGGAGAAGGAUAGAUAUGGAUUUCAUCAGUGGCAUAAAUAUAUAUUAUAACAUUAACUUUCCUUAAUGAUUCUAAUUCUCUAAUUCACUUUGGUUGGGAUACAAUUUGAUAUAUAAUGUAUUCUUUUGCCAGUGUUCAUCCAAAACAGGGGGGUAAGUUUAAUUAUAUAUUCUAUGAAUGUGAUAAUUUUGGUAAUUUUUGCACAAAAUUUCAAGAAAUUGUAUUCAAAAUUUUACUUCAAGUUUCCUGAACUGUUUGAAAAGAGUGAAUAGUUUUGAAAAUGAAUUUAUCAUUCAAAAUAAUUACCCAGUCAAAAAUUUACUGAAAUUAUAUAAUAUUGAAUUUUAGGUCUCACCAUUUCCUUGAAAAUAUAAUGAAUUUCAUGCACGUAAAUAAUUUUCCUUACCAUCGGGAUCAGUCUAUUUCUCAUACAUUCUAAUAUUUUAUUGUGAUUUAUUUAGAGUUGCAAAAUUCAGUAAUUUUUAAUUGUGUAAUAAACAUUAAUUUUUUAGUUUAGUGGGGAAAAUGCAAACAUUGCACCUAAUCCCAAAAAAUUAAUUUGCUGUUUGCCAGUUUACCAUAAUUAAUAAUAUGAAGACGUAUUAUGAUUUUUUGGUGGGAUGGUAAUACACUACAAUGUUAAUGACCAUUUAAUUAAAAGGUUCAUUACUCAAUGUUCUAUGUAUGUAAAUGAAGGUAUGUAAAAAUGCUGAAACAUAUUCUUAUUAAUUCAAAAAAAAAAUAUAUUUGUAUGUCGGUCACAGUAGCUAAAUAAUACCAUCAACGUGGAACUAAAUAACCUGGGGACCGAAAAUAAUGAUAGUACAAUAUAAACAAGAACCGUAUGCACUCUUCGUUAUUGAAGUUAGCAAAGGCCUAACUUUCGAUUUAAAAACUUACUUGUAUGUGAGAAGGAAUCGCACACGAUCUGGAGGUACGGUGUUGAAUGCAGUUCCUGACUACAUCUGUCAGUUCUAGGAUUGUUUGCCUUGGAAAUCGAUACCUUGCAAUCAAAUCUGUGUCAUUAUAUGGAUUAAAAUGAGUUUUAUCAUUUUCAGUAUCGUUUGCACCUAACCUGUCGAAAACUAUUCAAACACCAAUAAUCAUAAUUGUCGUCCUGUCUACAUUUGUUGGUUGUUGCUAUAGCAACAAUUGUUGGGAUGGCUUUCCGCCAAAGAUUGAAGAGACGAUUAGAGUACAAGCGGUCACAACCCGAGAGUGAGCGCAACACGGAUAUGAACGCCACUAGACAACCCAACAGAGGUUCUGAAUUCCCGUUAAAUGAUUAUGAACAGAUCAAUGCAUCUAUUGAUGUCCAUACUUACGAUUGGGCUGUUAUAUCGAAUGAAGCCCUUUACCAAAAUGUCCUAGCCGGUUCAAUUGAUCCUUUGAGUCUGAGUGUGGGAUAUAUUACAGAAAGAUCUGUUAACAAUUCAAUUUGUCUUGUAAAACAAAAUUUGACUUUAUCAACAUUUUGUGUCGAAUAAGUUAAGUGACCCGUAAGUCGCGCCAAAUGACGUCAUAUUGAUGACGUAACAAUACGUUUAGGUCUUCUGUUUCCAAUUUUGCUUCAGUAAUAAUGCCUCAUUUAUUUAAAAUCCUAAUUUUCUUCAGAAGGAGAUUAUAAGGAAUGAAGUGAUAGCUACUCUAUUUAUACGAUUUGAAUUAAGUUUGGGGGUAUCUAACGUUCUUUUGCGGUUUAUACAUUUAAUGCUAGGAUGUAAAUCACAAACAUAAGACGUAAGUAGAACUUACUUUCACUCACUUCAGAAUGUAACCAAAUACAGUGUCACAAAAAUCCUAAUGAAAUACUUUAAGUCAGGAUAUUUAAAUCCACAUCGAAUUACACUGCACUAUAUAUUUCUUCAGGAAUUUUUUCGAAUUCUAUCUCUGUAUUAAAAAGAAAAUAUUCAGGAUAGCAUUUUAAUGGUGGCGUGAUGGUCUGAAAUCGUCAAAAAGAAGACGACACUUAUCAGUAAUAUCAUGUUGUGGUCAUAACGAGCGGUCAGCAAGGGUAAUGACUUCGUGAGUGAUACAAAAUAAUAGUUGCUCGUCUUCUUGUAUUUAAAAAUGCUCUUCAGAUGUGAGAGUUAUUUUUGUUAUGUUGUUUAGUUAUAUCUUAAAGAAUGUUUUGUAAAUAAUUUUACUAAUUUCUGUGAAUGAUUAUUUUCAUGUAACACGUGAAUAUAAAUUUAUUUACCUCUGCACAUUUGUAUUUCUAAAGAUUAAUUUUUCUGAAUUUUCUAAAGUCUCUUUGGCACGAAAUAUCGAAAAUGAGUUAUCGUGAAAUAAUUGUUCUAUGCCUCAGAACUUGAACUCCAAAAAAAUAUCCAAUAAAUGCUUCCAAAUUAGUUUGGUCAAUUUAUAUUGAUGUAUUUUGGUAUAUUCGUUUUUCCAAAUCAGUCUUUAAUUUCAAUAUACAUUAAUAUUUCGGGGUGAAGUCUCCGCGUAGACGCCCUUAAAAUCCUCACCUAGGGUGCCAAUGACCACCUGUAUUAGAUGUAUAUAGGCAUAGGCAUACACAUACAUACAUACAUAUAUAAAGCACAGAAAAUUUCACUUUAUUUGGAUACCCACUUCCGCCCCUACCCGAGGUUGAACUCACGACCUGCGGAACUAAAUCUCCUAGCAGCAUGUAACCAGCGCGGUAGACCGCUCGACCAUCUAGGCUUGCUUUCGAUGACGAUGGAAUUCUCGCCACGUUGUCACAACUAUACGGUCAUUGAGAAUGGAAAUGGGAUACAGUUAUUUAACGUACAUUUAAGAGGAUCAUGAAUGAUACACAUUGUAUUCGAAAUAUUGUACAUAAAGCACAGAAAUAGCAAUGAACUCUUAAAUGAACAUAACUGCCCUAAGUGAAGAUAUAUAUAUAUAUAUAUAUAUCUACACAUAUAGACAUACACGUACGUACACAAACACAUACACAUAUAUUGACAAGAUAUAACAUAAAAAAGAAGGUUCCAUGUAUAAAAAAAAGAAAAAAAGAAACAGUAUAUGUACAUAAAGAACCCGAAACUCUCAUACGAGGGGUUAACCAAUUCAAAUGUUCAUAUCACAACCCCCAUGGCAGCACUGCAGGAGAACAGGGACCCUCCUCGUAGUGGGAAUUUCUUACAAAAUACCAGUAUAUAAAAGGUUUAUAACAAUCAUUUUUUGAUAUAGUUGUUUGUAAUCAAUUUAAAUUUUUCAAAAACCUCACAUGAAAAUACAAUUAUAAAUGUACAUAUACAAAUAUUUUGUAAAGGUUUCAUAGCAUGUAUCUAACACACUCACACAAGUACAUGCACACAACUACACACUCACCACCUGAAAUGUUUAUUCCAGGUAAAUAUGACAAGAAAAAAAAAAGAUGAAAUAUUUUUUCAGUUUUUAUCCCGUAAAGGUGUAUAUAUUACAAUUUGUUUUUAGUAGCUUUCAUAACCUUAGCAAAUUUUUUGUCCUGAUUUUUUUUCUCUUUUUGUGUGUGUGUGUAUUUCUGUAUACAAAUUUAGUUUACUUUUUAUGUGAUUACGCAUUUCUUGAGGAUUUUCGUAUUUGUUAUCUAAUUUACAGUACAUUUUAUACUUGUGUAUUUUGAAGGCAAUAAGGGAUAUUAUGUUAUUCAAAAAAAUGUCUUUUCAUUAUUUUCAUAGUAAAAUCCUAUCGCAGUUGCUUUCCAUGAUAUAUCAAAUUCUAAAACAUGUUUGACAAUGCCCCAUAUAUGGGAAAUAUUUUUACAUUCUAAGAUAAGAUGUUCAUUGUUUUCUUAUUCUACAAAAGACACAAAAAUCAUUUUCUACUAUUUACCAUUUCUUCAUCAAUUCUCUGUUCCAUAAUAGUUUAUUUUACAAUAUUUAAUUAAAAUCUUAUAUACUUCUGCCUCUAAUGGAUAAGUUUUUUGUCCAUACAUAGAUGUCCAAGCCGAUUUUGGUAUUUCAAAAACGUUUCCGAAAUAUGUUUGGUGUUAGUGGAGGUAUAAUAUUUCAAGACAAAGAAUUUGGUAAAUCAACUUUGCAUUUACAUCGCACACUUCCACAUGUCCUUUACAUAAUAAUCCAUAUGAUGUAUUCCCAUAAAAAUGUUUUCCUAUCGUGUAUUUGAAAAUUUAUAACUUUUGAAGGUUUUUGUUGUAACUGUUUUUAUAAUCGUAUUUCGCGAAAUCCAGGUUUUGUUAUAUAUACGUUUGUCAUCAAACCAUUCCAUAGGUUUUAUACCAUUUUCAUUUACAAUGAAAGAUGAAGAUAACGAACAGUGAUCAAUCUCGUAACUCCCAUAAGCAAUACAAAAAUGCAUCCCCUGCUUGUAACAACAUUGUCUUUGUUUGUAAGACUCGUUAUUGCCACUGUAUAUUAAACGAACUUGGCAUUAAUUCCACUUUUGGUAAUCGUACUUAUACUCUAACUGCCCUUUCAAAAGAUGAAAUUCUUCAAAACCAUGUUUAAGUUUUAGACACAUUUAAUAUCCCUGUCAAUGGGUCGAAUGAAUACGAGUUACCGUAUAUACUGGAUUCCUAAACUACAUAGAAACCCUUACAAACA